rnacentral:rRNA from 2 species
GCGUACAUUAAUGUUGUUGCAGUUAAAAAGCUCGUAGUUGGAUUUCUGGAUCGAGCGCUCUGUCCGUCGCUGUGCGAUGCGUACUUGAGUCGUCUCGUUUCAUCCUUGCAGGGAAGCGCGUUCGACAUUUGUUUGUCGACGCGGGGAACUGCAUCUUUUACUGUGAAAAAAUUAGAGUGUUUAAAGCAGGCAUUUUGCUGUGAAUACAUUAGCAUGGAAUAAUAACAUAGGACCCUGGUUCUAUUUUGUUGGUUGGAGGCCAAGGUAAUGAUUAAUAGGGACAGUUGGGGGUAUUCAUAUUUAAUUGUCAGAGGUGAAAUUCUUGGAUUUAUGAAAGAUGAACUCAUGCGAAAGCAUUUACCAAGGAUGUUUUCAUUAAUCAAGAACGAAAGUUAGGGGAUCGAAGAGGAUUAGAUACCCUCGUAGUCUUAACCAUAAACUAUGCCGACUAGGGAUUGGCGGACGUACUUUUUAUGGCUCCGUCAGCACCUUACGAGAAAUCAAAGUCUUUGGGUUCCGGGGGGAGUAUGGUCGCAAGGCUGAAACU